GAUGAACGCUAGCGGCAGGCUUAAUACAUGCAAGUCGAGGGGCAGCAUAAGUAGCAAUACUUGAUGGCGACCGGCAAACGGGUGCGGAACACGUACAGAACCUUCCUUCGAGCGGGGAAUAGCCCGAAGAAAUUCGGAUUAAUACCCCAUAGUAUUAUGAAGUGGCAUCACUUUAUAAUUAAAGAUUUAUCACUUGAAGAUGGCUGUGCGCCUGAUUAGGUAGUUGGCGGAGUAAUAGCCCACCAAGCCUUGAUCAGUAACUGGUGUGAGAGCACGACCAGUCAC
rnacentral:rRNA from 1 species